GAGAGCCAAGUGGAAUGGUCAGAAGCUAAGGGGAUGCAGCUGAACAGAAUUCUUCAGAGCAACAGUAUUGAAGUUCCCAUACCUGUAAUGCUGCAAAGAUCAUCAUUUCUUCUUCGGUGCAGUCAAUUUCUUCUAAGAGAAUAGCCCACCUGGCUUGUUCAUAGAGCUGGUUUAUUCGGACAGCAUCAUACUAAAGAAAGAGACAGAGAGUCUUCAAGGGGCCAAAUAGACCCAUCUCAGAUUCUAUUAUUUCCCUCUCUCUUUUGUCACCACUUCCACUGGGGGGAAGAACCAUCACCACCAUCCGCCUACAGGACUCUCUUCAUCUUGCAAAACCACAGCUCUGUAUCCACUAUACUCCCCACAGAAUCCUGCAAUUUUAGUCCUUCUUUGUUUGGUGGGAGAGGAAGGGAGGGAAGAAGAGGAAGGAGGAGCCAAGGAGGAAGACUUCUUGGGACUUUAGAAAUCCUUGGAUUCAAGCAUGAAAUAAAAACAACAAAACACCUGUCACAAAUCAUACCUGGUGGACCUGAAGUCGUUGGGGACCCCUCCAGAUUUAAAAUAUCUUCAAUAAUGGGCUCCUUGUUAGUUUUGUCUUUCUUUUUCUUUUUUUUAAAAUAGUCACCAGAAGGCUUUAACAAGGAGAGUUCUUCUGAUCUUCUAAUAUCUAACAGACAAACAAAUAUAAAGAAGAAAGAACAACUAUCAAAGAGUAAAAAUAAAAUUCCUUCUAAGACUCAGAGUCAUGCUGAACAUCUGAAACCAUUUCUCAGAAAAUCCCUGAGAACUAAAUGGAACUAAAUUACAUCCCUUUGGAAGAAAUAGACGGGUGUGUGUGUGUAUGGGGGAGGCGUCAAAGAUUGGAAGGAGAUUUAAUCUAAUAAAACUUCUAGCUGUUUUUUAA